GCAGUGGUAGCUCAGUGGUUAAGACGUUGGACUACUGAUCGGAAGGUCUUGAUUUCAAAUCUCAGCAAUCUUG